rnacentral:rRNA from 1 species
UACGAAGGGUGCAAGCGUUAAUCGGAAUUACUGGGCGUAAAGGGUGCGUAGGCGGUUCGUUAAGUCUGUUGUGAAAUCCCCGGGCUCAACCUGGGAAUGGCAAUGGAUACUGGCGAGCUAGAGUGUGAUAGAGGAUGGUGGAAUUCCCGGUGUAGCGGUGAAAUGCGUAGAGAUCGGGAGGAACAUCAGUGGCGAAGGCGGCCAUCUGGAUCAACACUGACGCUGAAGCACGAAAGCGUGGGGAGCAAACAGG